GCGGAUGUGGCGGAAUUGGCAGACGCGCUAGGUUCAGGGUCUAGUGGCUUUACAGCCGUGGGGGUUCGAGUCCCUUCAUCCGCACCA
rnacentral:tRNA from 1 species